rnacentral:rRNA from 1 species
UGGGGAAUCUUGCGCAAUGGGCGAAAGCCUGACGCAGCCAUGCCGCGUGAAUGAUGAAGGUCUUAGGAUUGUAAAAUUCUUUCACCGGGGACGAUAAUGACGGUACCCGGAGAAGAAGCCCCGGCUAACUUCGUGCCAGCAGCCGCGGUAAUACGAAGGGGGCUAGCGUUGCUCGGAAUUACUGGGCGUAAAGGGCGCGUAGGCGGCAAUUCAAGUCAUCUGUGAAAUCUCCGGGCUUAACUCGGAACGGUCAGAUGAUACUGCUUUGCUAGAGUGCAGAAGGGGCAAUCGGAAUUCUUGGUGUAGCGGUGAAAUGCGUAGAUAUCAAGAGGAACACCUGAGGUGAAGACGGGUUGCUGGGCUGACACUGACGCUGAGGCGCGAAAGCCAGGGGAGCAAACGGGAUUAGAUACCCACGUAGUCCCUGAGCGGGCUGGCAAGGCGCAU